rnacentral:rRNA from 1 species
CCCUACGGGGUGCAGCAGCGUUGACGUCCGCUUCCACCAUCAUUCCCGCGAAGGACGGAACCUGGAACUCGAUGCGAUUUUCUGGUCCCAGCUUCCGCCGGGUCGACUGUAAGUCAACAGAACUAAUAUUUAUUAUCAUGUCGUGGCAUUUUGUUGACGAUUCGAUUAAUGAUGGAUUUCCAGAUACGUCCAAUAUUUUACGUUAUAUUGUUUUGUUUCAGUCCAUCUUUCCAAAAACAGUUUCUUAUACAGUUCCGAAAAUACCUUGAUAUCCAAUGCAGCUUCAUGUAAUGCUUGACAUGGCUGCAAAUACCAACCGUCUCAGUUGGGUGGAUUGCUCAUUUACAGGUGAAAUAUUCCCUUGAGAAGGAAUUAGGAGAGAGAAAAGUAUUGUAAUAAUAUUUUGACGUCUCCGUCAUGAACGCCGACUGAAAAGCCGGUAGAUGCGGCAGCUGUGGCAGUGGG